rnacentral:rRNA from 1 species
AUGGCCGUCACGCCCAAUCUCCCCCUCCUCCUCCUCGCGACGUUCCUCCUCCUCGCGGCGGCGCCGGCCCCCUCCGCCGCGGAGAAGUUCGUCGUCGGCGACAAGAAGAACUGGGCCGCCAACGUCAACUACACCACCUGGCCCGACCAGUACCACUUCCACGUCGGCGACUGGCUCCAGUUCAACUACGCCAGGGACAUGUACGACGUGGUGCAGGUGGCGAACCAGACGGCGUACGACAAGUGCGACCCGACCAACCCCCUCGUCAGCUACAACCGGGGCCGCGGCUUCGUGUUCCAGCUCAACCACACGGGCCGCUACUACUUCAUCUGA